AGAGUUUGAUCCUGGCUCAGAACGAACGCUGGCGGCGUGCUUAACACAUGCAAGUCGAACGCGAAAUUUUUCUUCGGAGAAAGAGUAGAGUGGCGCACGGGUGAGUAACGCGUAAGUUAUCUACCUCGGCAUCUGGAAUAACUCACCGAAAGGUGUGCUAAUACCGGAUACGUUGAGUAAUCAAGAAAGGUGGCCUCUGAAUAUGCUACUGUGCUGAGAUGAGCUUGCGUACCAUUAGCUAGUUGGUAGGGUAAUGGCCUACCAAGGCGACGAUGGUUAGCGGGUCUGAGAGGAUGAUCCGCCACACUGGAACUGGAACACGGACCAGACUCCUACGGGAGGCAGCAGUGAGGAAUAUUGCGCAAUGGGGGAAACCCUGACGCAGCGACGCCGCGUGGAUGAUGAAGGCCUUCGGGUCGUAAAAUCCUGUCAGAUGGAAAGAAGUGUGUGUAUGCUAAUACCAUAUAUACUUGACGGUACCAUCGAAGGAAGCACCGGCUAACUCCGUGCCAGCAGCCGCGGUAAUACGGAGGGUGCAAGCGUUGUUCGGAAUUACUGGGCGUAAAGCGCGCGUAGGCGGUUUUAUAAGUCAGAUGUGAAAGCCCAUGGCUCAACCAUGGACGUGCAUUUGAAACUGUGAGACUUGAGUAUUGGAGGGGGUGGUGGAAUUCCCGGUGUAGAGGUGAAAUUCGUAGAUAUCGGGAGGAAUACCAGUGGCGAAGGCGACCACCUGGCCAAAUACUGACGCUAAGGUGCGAAAGCGUGGGGAGCAAACAGGAUUAGAUACCCUGGUAGUCCACGCCGUAAACGAUGUCAACUAGGUGUUGGGACGGUUAAUCGUCUCAUUGCCGCAGCUAACGCAUUAAGUUGACCGCCUGGGUAGUACGGUCGCAAGAUUAAAACUCAAAGGAAUUGACGG
rnacentral:rRNA from 1 species